rnacentral:rRNA from 1 species
UACGGGGGGAGCAAGCGUUGUUCGAAUUUACUGGGCGUAAAGGGCGCGUAGGCGGCCACCGCAAGUCGAUUGUGAAAUCUCCGGGCUUAACCCGGAAAGGUCAACCGAUACUGCGGGGCUAGAGUGCAGAAGGGGCAACUGGAAUUCUCGGUGUAGCGGUGAAAUGCGUAGAUAUCGAGAGGAACACCUGCGGCGAAGGCGGGUUGCUGGGCUGACACUGACGCUGAUGCGCGAAAGCUAGGGGAGCGAACGGG